UACGUAGGGGGCAAGCGUUGUUCGGAAUUACUGGGCGUAAAGGGCGCGUAGGCGGCCUGUUAAGUCGGACGUGAAAUCCCUCGGCUCAACCGGGGAACUGCGUCCGAUACUGGAUGGCUUGAAUCCGGGAGAGGGAUGCAGAAUUCCAGGUGUAGCGGUGAAAUGCGUAGAUAUCUGGAGGAAUACCGGUGGCGAAGGCGGCAUCCUGGACCGGCAUUGACGCUGAGGAGCGAAAGCCAGGGGAGCAAACGGG
rnacentral:rRNA from 1 species